UCCCAAACCCCCCCACGCCCCCAGAAACUCGCGCCUCCCUGACGACGACAGCGGGGAGAGCGACACGGGGGGCAGCGCCCUGGGCAAGAGGAAGGCCUCCCCAGCCCUCGACAUCAUCCCUAGGAAGGUGGCUCGAGUGCAGGAGCUUCCUGCAGCUGCAGGAGUAGGAGUGGCUGUAGGUGUAGUAGGAGGAGUGGCACCAGGUGCAGGAGUAGGGGGAGUGGCUGCAGCAGGAGUAGUAGGAGGAGCAGGAGUAGGAGGCAAGAAAGGCAGCACAGCGACGCGAAGAGAAGAACUUCUGCUGCAGCUACGCGCCGUCGAGGACGCUAUCGCUAAGAAGAGGGGCAAGCUGGCUUAGGGGGCUUGAUGGUCCUGGGGCUGGCUUAGUUGUCUGGCUUAGGGGGCUUAGGUGAACCUGAGGCUGGCUUAGUUGUCUGGCUUAGGUGACACCUGGGGCUGGCUUAGUGGUCUGGCUUAGGGGGCUUAGGUGGACCUGGGGCUGGCUUAGUGGUCUGGCUUAGGGGGCUUAGGUGGACCUGGGGCUGGCUUAGUUAUCUGGCUUAGGUGACACCUGGGGGCUGGCUUAGUUGUCUGGCUUAGGUGACACCUGGGGGCUGGCUUAGUUGUCUGGCUUAGGUGACACCUGGGGGCUGGCUUAGUUGUCUGUUUUAGGUGACGUCUGGGGCUGGCUUAGGUAACUUAGCCUACAGGUUGCAGAGCCCUAAUGCCUACUGUAACAGCUUGUGUCUAACAAGCAAUCGCUGCUGUGACUAAGUCAACUUAGACCCUCGUGUUUACUUGCAGAUAAAUUAAUAAAUGGAAUAAUAAGCAAUGGAUAAGUAAUACCAGACGACGUACGUGUCAAAUACGUGCACUAAACGUGCUUUCAUUAAACGUUUAUAAUCAUUUUACUUGCUUUAAUGUGAUAUUACAACGGCGUUCAUAGACGAGAUAUAAAUUUAUAUCUUUAUGAAUCA
rnacentral:lncRNA from 1 species